UACGUAGGUGGCAAGCGUUGUCCGGAUUUACUGGGCGUAAAGAGCGCGCAGGCGGUCGGUCAAGUCGCGUGUGAAAGCCCCCGGCUCAACUGGGGAGGGUCAUUCGAUACUGAUCGACUCGAAGGCAGGAGAGGGAAGCGGAAUUCCCGGUGUAGUGGUGAAAUGCGUAGAUAUCGGGAGGAACACCAGUGGCGAAGGCGGCUUCCUGGCCUGUUCUUGACGCUGAGGCGCGAAAGCUAGGGGAGCAAACGGG
rnacentral:rRNA from 1 species